GCCUAGUUAGCUUAGUUGGUAGUGCAGCCUUGUAAGCGCUAGGCUGCGGGUUCGAUUCCCGCCCGGGGCG
rnacentral:tRNA from 1 species